AACGUAGGGGACAAGCGUUAUCCGGAUUUACUGGGCGUAAAGCGCCCGUAGGCGGCCUGACAAGUUGGACGUGAAAGCUCCUGGCUUAACUGGGAGAGGCCGUUCAAAACUGUCAAGCUAGAGUCUGGAAGAGGAGAGCGGAAUUCCCGGUGUAGUGGUGGAAUGCGUAGAGAGUCGGGAGGAACCACCAGUGGCGAAAGCGGCUCUCUGGGACGGUACUGACGCUGAGACGCGAAAGCGUGGGGAGCGAACAGG
rnacentral:rRNA from 1 species